ACGUAGGGUGCAAGCGUUAUUCGGAUUCACUGGGCGUAAAGGGUGCGCAGGCGGCCGUGUGUGUGAAGUGUGAAAGCCCGGGGCUUAACCCCGGAAUUGCACCUCAAACUACAUGGCUAGAGCAUUGGAGAGGGUAGCGGAAUUCACGGUGUAGCAGUGAAAUGCGUAGAUAUCGUGAGGAACACCAGAGGCGAAGGCGGCUACCUGGACAAUUGCUGACGCUCAGGCACGAAAGCGUGGGGAGCAAAAGGGA
rnacentral:rRNA from 1 species